rnacentral:rRNA from 1 species
AUUGAACGCUGGCGGAAUGCUUUACACAUGCAAGUCGAACGGUAGAGGGGGCAACCCCUUGAGAGUGGCGAACGGGUGAGUAAUAUAUCGGAACGUGCCCAGUCGUGGGGAUAACGUAGCGAAAGUUACGCUAAUACCGCAUACGAUCUAAGGAUGAAAGCGGGGGACUCGCAAGAGCCUCGCGCGAUUGGAGCGGCCGAUAUCAGAUUAGGUAGUUGGUGGGGUAAAGGCUCACCAAGCCAACGAUCUGUAGCUGGUCUGAGAGGACGACCAGCCACACUGGAACUGAGACACGGUCCAGACUCCUACGGGAGGCAGCAGUGGGGAAUUUUGGACAAUGGACGCAAGUCUGAUCCAGCCAUUCCGCGUGCAGGAUGAAGGCCCUCGGGUUGUAAACUGCUUUUGUACGGAACGAAAAGGUUUCUAUUAAUACGAGGAGCUCAUGACGGUACCGUAAGAAUAAGCACCGGCUAACUACGUGCCAGCAGCCGCGGUAAAGUG